rnacentral:rRNA from 1 species
CCUACGGGAGGCAGCAGUGAGGAAUAUUGGUCAAUGGUCGGGAGACUGAACCAGCCAAGCCGCGUGAGGGAGGAAGGUACAGAGUAUCGUAAACCUCUUUUGUCAGGGGACAUAGACUGCGACGCGUCCCCGGAUGAGUGUACCUGAAGAAAAAGCAUCGGCUAACUCCGUGCCAGCAGCCGCGGUAAUCCGGGGGAUGCGAGCGUUGUCCGGAUUUAUUGGGUUUAAAGGGUCCGCAGGCGGGCUGUUAAGUCAGCGGACAAAGCCCGGGGCCAACCCCCGGCGCGCCGUUGAAACUGGCAGUCUCGAGUGGGAGAGAAGUAUGCGGAAUGCGCGGUGUAGCGGUGAAAUGCAUAGAUAUCGCGCAGAACUCCGAUUGCGAAGGCAGCAUGCCGGCUCCACACUGACGCUGAGGCACGAAAGCGUGGGUAUCGAACAGGAUUAGAUACCCUGGUAGUC